ensembl:lncRNA
CAGAUGUGAGGGAUUCUAAAGCCUUGACUUUUAUCCUAGCCCUAGGAUAUAAGAGCAGUGACCUGGUCAGGAUGGUCAGCAAGGAAGAGGCUCAAAGAGUUGUCAACAUUCAAGAUGGAAGUGAAGGGUCUGGGUGACUUGGGAGGAGUUGGAUCCAGCAGGGAACACCAAGUCCCACUGCCAGUGGGCCCUGUCCCCAUCAUCCCUGUAGUCUUACAGGCAGAACAAAUAUGAGAAACCCAGAAUCAGAGUUCUGAGGCCCUCAUCAAUGUUCAUUUCCUUGCAAUUUUAGCGCAGAUCCUCUUACCUCCCAAGUUGUUCUGAGACAGAAUGUCCGUGGAAAAAGCAAGUGGGAACAGCUGCCAUCGGCACAGUCUGCAGAUUUACUGUGAAGCUGUACCAGGCGUGGUGGGAACUUGAGGCUCAGACUCCCAAGCCAGGGGAGGGACAUGAGCCACCAUCUUUAGCCCCUGCUCCUGCCAAGAGCCACGUGCCUCAUGCUUUCAGGCACCAGCCCCUGAAAAGCCCAAGAACAAUGCCAGGAAGUAUGUGUUAUCACUAUUUCAUGGACGAAUGUGUCACUUUACCCUGAAAAUAUAUGCCUUGAACAGCUGCUAAGUGCUUGACUUGUGCAAGGGGGCGGGUGCACAGUGAUGGCAAAGACUCCCUAAGCCCCCUCCCUGCUUCCUUCAAAGAUGGUCCCCAGUAGGAGAGGCAGACUCUGAACAAGAGAAGCAAACAAGGAAGGGAAGAAAGGCAGGCGGCAGAAUGCAGUAAACACCGUGGGUGACAAGACUUUGGGAAAGCAACUCGGGAGACCUACUUUAAGUAUGCUGAUCGGGGAAGGGACUAUCUGAGGAGGCAACAUUCGAACCACUCCAGUCUCGUCUCCUUCCUUUCCGGAGCUUCGGGCCAUGUCCACCCCCGGCAAGGAUGCUGGGCCAGCUGAAGAGGCAGGCAGCCCUGUCCUCAUCCUCUCC